rnacentral:rRNA from 1 species
GACGAACGCUGGCGGCGUGCCUAAUACAUGCAAGUCGAACGAGAGCGACCGGUGCUUGCACUGGUCAAUCUAGUGGCGAACGGGUGAGUAACACGUGGGUAACCUGCCCAUCAGAGGGGGAUAACAUUCGGAAACGGAUGCUAAAACCGCAUAGGUUCUACAGUCGCAUGACUGAAGAAGGAAAAGAGGCUUCGGCUUCUGCUGAUGGAUGGACCCGCGGUGCAUUAGCUAGUUGGUGAGGUAACGGCUCACCAAGGCCGUGAUGCAUAGCCGACCUGAGAGGGUGAUCGGCCACAUUGGGACUGAGACACGGCCCAAACUCCUACGGGAGGCAGCAGUAGGGAAUCUUCCGCAAUGGACGCAAGUCUGACGGAGCAACGCCGCGUGAGUGAAGAAGGAUUUCGGUUCGUAAAACUCUGUUGUUAGAGAAGAACAGCGCAUAGAGUAACUGUUAUGCGUGUGACGGAUCUACCAGAAAGCC